AAAAGACAAAGCCUCAUGGAGCAAUGCUCAGUGAAUCCAUGGGAUCUUGAGAGAGAAAGAGCAAGCAGGAGGAGCAGAGGGAGAAAGAAUCUCAAGCCGACUCCACGAGCUGAGCAAGGAAACUGACAUGGGGCUUGAUCUCACGACCCUGAGAUCAUGACCUAAGCUGAAACCGAAGAGUCAGAAGCUUAACUGACUGAGCUACUCAAGCGCCCUAUAUCUCAGUAAGCUCUACACCCAGCAUGGAGUCUAACAUGCGACUUGAACCUUGAGAUCAAGACCUGAGAUCAAGACCUGAGCUGAGAUCAAGAGUCAGAGACUUAACUGACUGAGCCACCCAGACACCCCUGGUUCAGCAUCUCCAGAGAUGAGCUUUCCAAACACCUGAUGAAGUUGGGAACAUGAGAAGGAAUCAAUGGCAGUAAUUAUCAGUGUGAAAGCUAAAGGACACAUGAGCUAAUUCUGCAGGUUUUAUAAUAUGAGUAGGCUAUUCUCGCUGUAUGCCACUAUUUGAAAGAAUUAUGAAUGCAAAAUGAAGUUUUGCAUUCAUAAAAUGAAUCCUCAAAAUUAAGGAGUUUUGGGGUUAUAAGAAGAGAAAAUGGGUCACAUCUGUUGUCUGUCAUCUCUAACAAGUUUUGCAAAGUAGUUUGUCACCAUCUUAGUAUUCUUAUUGAGUAAGAUUAUUUCAGAGUAUCCUGUGCUAGAUUAGGUA